GACUGACUCUCGUUCACUUUGGCAGAACUCGUGACACAGUCCGGAUCGUUUAAAAAGUUUAAUUACGACCGUGAUAUUUCGCGUCCUCUGAUCGUCGUCAAUUGCGAUCAGGUGAAAUCGUGGCAGUGAUUUUUUUUAAAGUUAACCGCAUUGAGUGCGUCUUGAAAAGUCGAGGUGUGAAGAAUUUUGGAGGCAGAUCUGUGAUCGAGCCUAGUUAGCAGGAGUAAUUUUGCAGGUGUGAGGCCGCCGCAAUCAGAACGAGCGAGAAAGGAACCCAUCAACGUGGGUGGCUUAUCUGGAGCUGGAAAGCUCAAACGUGGUCGUCUGGGAGCGCAAUCCUGGAUCGGAAGC